UUGUUCGUCUUUCUAUAA
rnacentral:snRNA from 1 species